UGGCGAGCGGGUGAGUAACACGUGAGUAACCUGCCCUUGACUUUGGGAUAACUUCAGGAAACUGGGGCUAAUACCGGAUAGGAGCUCCUGCUGCAUGGUGGGGGUUGGAAAGUUUCGGCGGUUGGGGAUGGACUCGCGGCUUAUCAGCUUGUUGGUGGGGUAGUGGCUUACCAAGGCUUUGACGGGUAGCCGGCCUGAGAGGGUGACCGGCCACAUUGGGACUGAGAUACGGCCCAG
rnacentral:rRNA from 1 species